CGCCCGCCCGCCGCCGUGGCCCCGCGCCUCCCAGCUCUAUAGCCCGCGGCCCGCACCGAGGCUCGCGGAGCCCGGGUCAGGCUCCUGGGCCCGCUGCCUUAACCCCUUCGCGCCCGCGGACGCUACGUGCUAGGCGAGGCUGGGUCUCGGCACCUGCCGGCUGGGGGAGUGGGCGGCGACCCCGGCUACCAGCUGCCCCGCUGGCCUGGGACGCUGGGGAAGUCACAGGCUGGACGGCCGAGGCACCGCGCAGACCAGGAAACUGGGCUCUACCCCUGGAGGUUCGCCAAGUCCGCCCGUGGGCCGGGAGUGUGGCGCGGCAGGCUGAGAGGGGCGUGGUAGCCGCGAAUCCCGGCGCUCUGCCCGCAUCCCCACCUUGUGCAGACCCCAGGAGGAGGGUUGCCAGGCGGGCAGGGCACCAAGGGGACAGGGAAGGAGACUGCCUCUUUUCAGCAUGCAAAGUGAGAAGAUUGCAUUGUUCUCAGCUGCCUCAUGGAAGCUGUGGCAGAAGGGUAGAGCUGCAGGAAUUGAUUAGCACCAAUUAACAGCAAGAGGCUACCUUCUGCUCUCACCCUGUCGGCCUCCUGCUGUCUAGAAGCCUGGAGCUGCAUGGCAGAGGAAACGUCCAGACCUGGCAGACAGGAGGGGACUGUGGAACCAUCAUAUGAGGCUGGGUGCCCCAGUGGGGCCCAAGCAGUCAAAAAUUGCCAGAAAAGUAUCUUCACCAGAAAAAAAAUCUUACUUCAUUUAAUGAAAACUUCUGAAAUUUAUCUUCUGGAAAAAUCAGAGAAAAU